rnacentral:rRNA from 1 species
AUUGAACGCUGGCGGCAGGCCUAACACAUGCAAGUCGAGCGGAUGAAGGGAGCUUGCUCCUGGCUUCAGCGGCGGACGGGUGAGUAAUGCCUAGGAAUCUGCCUGGUAGUGGGGGAUAACGUCCGGAUACGGGCGCUAAUACCGCAUACGUCAUGAGGGAGAAAGUGGGGGAUCUUCGGAACUCACGCUAUCAGAUGAGCCUAGGUCGGAUUAGCUAGUUGGUGGGGUAAAGGCCUACCAAGGCGACGAUCCGUAACUGGUCUGAGAGGAUGAUCAGUCACACUGGAACUGAGACACGGUCCAGACUCCUACGGGAGGCAGCAGUGGGGAAUAUUGGACAAUGGGCGAAAUCCUGAUCCAGCCAUGCCGCGUGUGUGAAGAAGGUCUUCGGAUUGUAAAGCACGUUAAGUUGGGAGGAAGGGCAGUAAGUUAAUACCUUGCUGUUUUGACGUUACCAACAGAAUAAGCACCGGCUAACUACGUG